rnacentral:rRNA from 1 species
AGCGAACGCUGGCGGCAGGCUUAACACAUGCAAGUCGAGCGGGCACUUUCGGGUGUCAGCGGCGGACGGGUGAGUAACGCGUGGGAACGUGCCCUCUGGUUCGGAAUAACUCAGGGAAACUUUAGCUAAUACCGGAUACGCCCUUUUGGGGAAAGGCUUGCUGCCGGAGGAUCGGCCCGCGUCUGAUUAGCUAGUUGGUGAGGUAACGGCUCACCAAGGCGACGAUCAGUAGCUGGUCUGAGAGGAUGAUCAGCCACACUGGGACUGAGACACGGCCCAGACUCCUACGGGAGGCAGCAGUGGGGAAUAUUGGAAAAUGGGCGCAAGACUGAUCCAGCCAUGCCGCGUGAGUGAUGAAGGCCUUAGGGUUGUAAAGCUCUUUUAUCCGGGACGAUAAUGACGGUACCGGAGGAAUAAGCCCCGGCUAACUUCGUG